UACGGGGGGGGCAAGCGUUGUUCGGAAUUACUGGGCGUAAAGGGCUCGUAGGCGGCCAACUAAGUCGGACGUGAAAUCCCUCGGCUUAACCGGGGAACUGCGUCCGAUACUGGAUGGCUUGAGUAUGGGAGAGGGAUGCGGAAUUCCAGGUGUAGCGGUGAAAUGCGUAGAGAUCCGGAAGAACACCGACGGCGAAGGCAGCGUCCUGGCCGAGCACUGACGCUCAGGCACGAAAGCGCGGGGAGCGAACAGG
rnacentral:rRNA from 1 species